UACGUAGGUGGCAAGCGUUUGUCCGGAAUUAUUGGGCGUAAAGCGCGCGCAGGCGGUUCCUUAAGUCUGAUGUGAAAGCCCACGGCUCAACCGUGGAGGGUCAUUGGAAACUGGGGGACUUGAGUACAGAAGAGGAAAGCGGAAUUCCACGUGUAGCGGUGAAAUUCGUAGAUAUCGGGAGGAACACCAGUGGCGAAGGCGGCGAUCUGGACAGAUAUUGACGCUGAGGUGCGAAAGCGUGGGGAGCAAACAGG
rnacentral:rRNA from 1 species